UACGUAGGGGCAAGCGUUGUCCGGAAUCAUUGGGCGUAAAGCGCGUGUAGGCGGCUUCGUAAGUCCGUUGUGAAAGUCCAGGGCUCAACCCUGGAAUGCCGAUGGAUACUGCGGAGCUAGAGUCCGGAAGAGGCGAGUGGAAUUCCUGGUGUAGCGGUGAAAUGCGCAGAUAUCAGGAGGAACACCAAUGGCGAAGGCAGCUCGCUGGGACGGUACUGACGCUGAGGAGCGAAAGCAUGGGGAGCGAACAGG
rnacentral:rRNA from 1 species